UACGUAGGGUGCGAGCGUUGUCCGGAUUUAUUGGGCGUAAAGAGCUCGUAGGCGGCUUGUCGCGUCUGCUGUGAAAACCUAAGGCUCAACCUUGGGCUUGCAGUGGGUACGGGCAGACUAGAGUGCGGUAGGGGUGACUGGAAUUCCUGGUGUAGCGGUGGAAUGCGCAGAUAUCAGGAGGAACACCGAUGGCGAAGGCAGGUCACUGGGCCGCAACUGACGCUGAGGAGCGAAAGCAUGGGGAGCGAACAGG
rnacentral:rRNA from 1 species